rnacentral:rRNA from 1 species
UGAGGCAUGCUGGAGGUAUCAGAAGUGCGAAUGCUGACAUAAGUAACGAUAAAGCGGGUGAAAAGCCCGCUCGCCGGAAGACCAAGGGUUCCUGUCCAACGUUAAUCGGGGCAGGGUGAGUCGACCCCUAAGGCGAGGCCGAAAGGCGUAGUCGAUGGGAAACAGGUUAAUAUUCCUGUACUUGGUGUUACUGCGAAGGGGGGACGGAGAAGGCUAUGUUGGCCGGGCGACGGUUGUCCCGGUUUAAGCGUGUAGGCUGGUUUUCCAGGCAAAUCCGGAAAAUCAAGGCUGAGGCGUGAUGACGAGGCACUACGGUGCUGAAGCAACAAAUGCCCUGCUUCCAGGAAAAGCCUCUAAGCAUCAGGUAACAUCAAAUCGUACCCCAAACCGACACAGGUGGUCAGGUAGAGAAUACCAAGGCGCUUGAGAGAACUCGGGUGAAGGAACUAGGCAAAAUGGUGCCGUAACUUCGGGAGAAGGCACGCUGAUAUGUAGGUGAAGUCCCUCGCGGAUGGAGCUGAAAUCAGUCGAAGAUACCAGCUGGCUGCAACUGUUUAUUAAAAACACAGCACUGUGCAAACACGAAAGUGGACGUAUACGGUGUGACGCCUGCCCGGUGCCGGAAGGUUAAUUGAUGGGGUCAGCGCAAGCGAAGCUCUUGAUCGAAGCCCCGGUAAACGGCGGCCGUAACUAUAACGGUCCUAAGGUAGCGAAAUUCCUUGUCGGGUAAGUUCCGACCUGCACGAAUGGCGUAAUGAUGGCCAGGCUGUCUCCACCCGAGACUCAGUGAAAUUGAACUCGCUGUGAAGAUGCAGUGUACCCGCGGCAAGACGGAAAGACCCCGUGAACCUUUACUAUAGCUUGACACUGAACAUUGAGCCUUGAUGUGUAGGAUAGGUGGGAGGCUUUGAAGUGUGGACGCCAGUCUGCAUGGAGCCGACCUUGAAAUACCACCCUUUAAUGUUUGAUGUUCUAACGUGGACCCGUGAUCCGGGUUGCGGACAGUGUCUGGUGGGUAGUUUGACUGGGGCGGUCUCCUCCUAAAGAGUAACGGAGGAGCACGAAGGUUGGCUAAUCCUGGUCGGACAUCAGGAGGUUAGUGCAAUGGCAUAAGCCAGCUUGACUGCGAGCGUGACGGCGCGAGCAGGUGCGAAAGCAGGUCAUAGUGAUCCGGUGGUUCUGAAUGGAAGGGCCAUCGCUCAACGGAUAAAAGGUACUCCGGGGAUAACAGGCUGAUACCGCCCAAGAGUUCAUAUCGACGGCGGUGUUUGGCACCUCGAUGUCGGCUCAUCACAUCCUGGGGCUGAAGUAGGUCCCAAGGGUAUGGCUGUUCGCCAUUUAAAGUGGUACGCGAGCUGGGUUUAGAACGUCGUGAGACAGUUCGGUCCCUAUCUGCCGUGGGCGCUGGAGAACUGAGGGGGGCUGCUCCUAGUACGAGAGGACCGGAGUGGACGCAUCACUGGUGUUCGGGUUGUCAUGCCAAUGGCACUGCCCGGUAGCUAAAUGCGGAAGAGAUAAGUGCUGAAAGCAUCUAAGCACGAAACUUGCCCCGAGAUGAGUUCUCCCUGACCCUUUAAGGGUCCUGAAGGAACGUUGAAGACGACGACGUUGAUAGGCCGGGUGUGUAAGCGCAGCGAUGCGUUGAGCUAACCGGUACUAAUGAACCGUGAGGCUUAACCUUACAACGCCGAAGGUGUUU